GGCCAGGUAGCUCAGUUGGUAGAGCAACGGACUGAAAAUCCGUGUGUCGGCGGUUCGACUCCCUCCCUGGCCA
rnacentral:tRNA from 1 species